CGUAGUAACGUCACAUAAUUACUGAAAAAUGUUGUAUUUAAUUUUAGCCAACAUAAUAAAUUCAGAUUUUCAUCUUUUCCUUGAAUUCUGGCUUGGAUUAAGUGGAAAUAACGUGAUUUUACGCAAAUUGAACUAUAAUACCAACAAUUUUACAGUUCAAAAGAACAAAUUUUUGCCUUUGUACGUGAAAUAUUUAUUGUACACGUCGAUUCUGCUAUAAUAUUAUGGUCUAUCAAUGGUUAAUUCAAUUGCUGCAUGCCUAUAAAGAAAAAUCGCAAUUACCUUCCGUUUAUGAGCGUGUGUGACGUAAUAAGGAAAUGCGACGCGCUGCACCGACCGACUGACAUUCAAACGAAUUCACGUAGCACCGGUUAGCACUGAGUGCGCUUAUCGCCUGUAUAUUAACAAAACGAGCACGGCAAGGAAGUGCAUACGAUUAAUUACCGCACUACGACUGCAACUAAUACUACCUACUACUAGCUAACAUUACUCAUAGAGUAGUAAAGUUACAACUUUUGUUUGAUUGUGCAAACACUGCGAAGAUGGAGGAAGCAGAACGAUCAAGAUAACUACCUAUGCUGUAGAUGUGGUUCGUCAUAUUCACGGAUUCGUAAAAGUCUAUUUCAGUUCGAAACUCCAUCAAACGGUAAAUAAAUAAUUUAAUAUUUGGUUUCCAUUAUUUUCUGAUGAUUUUUACACGAAAUGAUCGGAAAUUUACAAAUUUAACAAUUUAUAUUUUGAGGUUUAGCCCAAGAAAGAUGGAGGGAUAGGAUGGACCAUAGAAGAUGAAUCGAUAGGCAAUGGAAAAAAAUUGAGAGAUAAAGAAAUUAGGUUACAAUUAAACGCAUACUUUGUAGUAUUUAAAGUUGCAUUUUUAACAAUUAACUUGAUAAUUGCUAAUUUUAUUUGGAAAAUAAAGCAGUGUGUCUUGUAUUUAUUGUUAAUUGUGUCAAAAACUUGUCAAUCGCUUACAUUUUAACUGUUGAAAUUUUUGCUCAAACCUUUCAUUAUUGUUUAUUUGUAUUAAAUACUUGAAAAUAUAUUUGAUUUCCGUUAAA